CCUACGGGAGGCAGCAGUGGGGAAUAUUGGACAAUGGGCGAAAGCCUGAUCCAGCAAUGCCGCGUGAGUGAUGAAGGCCUUAGGGUUGUAAAGCUCUUUUACCCGGGAUGAUAAUGACAGUACCGGGAGAAUAAGCUCCGGCUAACUCCGUGCCAGCAGCCGCGGUAAUACGGAGGGAGCUAGCGUUAUUCGGAAUUACUGGGCGUAAAGCGCACGUAGGCGGCUUUGUAAGUUAGAGGUGAAAGCCUGGAGCUCAACUCCAGAAUUGCCUUUAAGACUGCAUCGCUUGAAUCCAGGAGAGGUGAGUGAAAUUCCGAGUGUAGAGGUAAAAUUCGUAGAUAUUCGGAAGAACACCAGUGGCGAAGGCGGCUCACUGGACUGGUAUUGACGCUGAGGUGCGAAAGCGUGGGGAGCAAACAGGAUUAGAUACCCCUGUAGU
rnacentral:rRNA from 1 species